rnacentral:hammerhead_ribozyme from 1 species
AUCCAGGUGACGAGUCCCAAAUAGGACGAAAUGCGCAUCCUGGUGGAU